CAUGCAAGUCGAACGGAAAGGCCCUUCGGGGUACUCGAGUGGCGAACGGGUGAGUAACACGUGGGUGAUCUGCCCUGCACUUUGGGAUAAGCCUGGGAAACUGGGUCUAAUACCGAAUACACCCUUCUGGCUGCAUGGUCUGGGAGGGGAAAGCUUUUGCGGUGUGGGAUGGGCCCGCGGCCUAUCAGCUUGUUGGUGAGGUUAUGGCUUACCAAGGCGACGACGGGUAGCCGGCCUGAGAGGGUGACCGGCCACACUGGGACUGAGAUACGGCCCAGACUCCUACGGGAGGCAGCAGUGGGGAAUAUUGCACAAUGGGCGCAAGCCUGAUGCAGCGACGCCGCGUGAGGGAUGACGGCCUUCGGGUUGUAAACCUCUUUCGCCAGGGACGAAGCGCAAGUGACGGUACCUGGAGAAGAAGGACCGGCCAACUACGUGCCAGCAGCCGCGGUAAUACGUAGGGUCCGAGCGUUGUCCGGAAUUACUGGGCGUAAAGAGCUCGUAGGUGGUUUGUCGCGUUGUUCGUGAAAACUCACA
rnacentral:rRNA from 1 species